GUGGGAAUACUGCACAAUGGGAGCAAGCCUGAUGCAGCGACGCCGCGUGAGGGAUGAAGGCCUUCGGGUUGUAAACCUCUUUCAGCAGGGAAGAAGCGCAAGUGACGGUACCUGCAGAAGAAGCGCCGGCUAACUACGUGCCAGCAGCCGCGGUAAUACGUAGGGCGCAAGCGUUGUCCGGAAUUAUUGGGCGUAAAGAGCUCGUAGGCGGUUUGUCGCGUCUGCUGUGAAAACUCGAGGCUCAACCUCGGGCUUGCAGUGGGUACGGGCAGACUAGAGUGCGGUAGGGGAGACUGGAAUUCCUGGUGUAGCGGUGGAAUGCGCAGAUAUCAGGAGGAACACCGAUGGCGAAGGCAGGUCUCUGGGCCGCAACUGACGCUGAGGAGCGAAAGCAUGGGGAGCGAACAGGAUUAGAUACCCUGGUAGUCCAUGCCGUAAACGUUGGGCACUAGGUGUGGGGCUCAUUCCACGAGUUCCGUGCCGCAGCAAACGCAUUAAGUGCCCCGCCUGGGGAGUACGGCCGCAAGGCUAAAACUCAAAGAAAUUGACGGGGGCCCGCACAAGCGGCGGAGCAUGCGGAUUAAUUCGAUGCAACGCGAAGAACCUUACCAAGGCUUGACAUACACCGGAAACUUCCAGAGAUGGUUGCCCCGCAAGGUCGGUGUACAGGUGGUGCAUGGUUGUCGUCAGCUCGUGUCGUGAGAUGUUGGGUUAAGUCCCGCAACGAGCGCAACCCUCGUCCUAUGUUGCCAGCGGGUCAUGCCGGGGACUCAUAGGAGACUGCCGGGGUCAACUCGGAGGAAGG
rnacentral:rRNA from 1 species